rnacentral:rRNA from 1 species
UGGGCCUGCUCGGUGAUUAAUAUUUAACAGCUGCGGUAUUAUAACUGUACUAAGGUAGCAUAAUAAUUUGCUCUAUAAAUUAGGGCUAGAAUGAAUGGUUUGACGAGAAUUAAACUGUCUCUACUUUAUUUGUUAGAAAUUAAUUUUUAUAGUGAAAAAGCUUGGAUGGUUUAAAGGGACGAAAAGACCCUAUUGAGCUUGUGUUAAUAAAUAAAUAUUANNNUAUAUAUAUNNNNNNNAUAUAUAUAUAUAAUANNNNNUUUGUUAGUUUUAAUUUGGUUGGGGUGAUCAAGGAAUAAAAU